ensembl:lncRNA
AGCACUGUGCUCCCAGGCUCAUCCUGUGCUUGGCUGGAUAACGCUGCGCUCGCUGACUCUUCCCUUUGGAAUGAGCAACGCUCUUCCCACAGCCAGGCACGGCCACUGAGAAGACUUUGCAGAGCAUCUUGUUGCCGCUUACAUUUCUGGCACCAGCUCUUUCAAACACUGCCAGCUGGAUUUUAUGACACCUCAUUGAGGGGCUGCCAGCAGUCAGGUCACAGUGCCAUAGACCUCCAGAUGGAAAAACUGCCUAUCUUCAGCUCUGCAGACAUGAAAAAGUGCAAGUGGGAAAUGCUCACCUAAUGUACAAAAGUAACGUCUAAUAGCUGGAGAAGGUCUGAAGAUCCUGUCAACUGCAGCUGGUACCUGUGAGACUUCUUGGAUCAUGUCUGUGUUUGUGUCUAAUUCUAGACUGCCUUCCUCUGCACACUUUCUGCUGCUGAACAAGGGAGACAUUUCUUAAUACAACACUGCAAGAAGCUCAUGGCACCCUCAUACUGCCAUGACAAAUACGAUUUUGGAGCACGUACAAAAUCAAAUAGGAUAAAUAAACCAUUAGCCAAGCAUUUUAGCCAACGUGACUUUGUUUUGUUAUUUACAGUAAUUGUAAAAUUGUGAACAAUUUAGGAAAAGUGGGAAAAGUUCUCAGAUUAUUAGUUUGAUCUUGGUACUUUGCCAUAUGACUGCUGGGAAUUUGUUUUUUUUCUGGGAAUGGGAAUGGUGAGGAGGAGUAGGGAGGGUAUUAUGAGGAAUCUAAAGCUUAUUGGGUGAAGAGACAGAAUUUAAGAUUAGAGCUUUAUGACACAUGAUGACUCUUUGCUGUGUCUUGAUUUCUAUUUCAUUCUUUUUGACGCUAUCAAAAUGGCAAGUGCACCAAAAGCUUCAUAACAUGACUGUAAAAAUCCUCACACCCCUGAAGCAGGACUAAUACAAAGGGCUGGUGCACCUCUGUGGACCCUUACUGGCUUUUGUGUUUGCACACAUCCAGCUGUCUGAGACGCUGGGAGAAAGCAUUCAGCAUCACUGCCAUUCCUGAGUGUGCUUUGGCAGAUACAAAGUCCAGGCAGAAGCAAUCAGCCCUACAUGAGCAACAGCCCUGAGGACCACUGAUGCCUUGGAGAGGGUGUAAUGCUUCCAGUGUCGGAUGAAAACUAACUAUACAUUAUGUUAUCUACUUAUUGCAUAGCGUUCACCAAGUUGGUACUUCUAUCUGAAAACCUCCCAGACAAAAAAGAGAAAGGACAAAUUGUAUCGAGGACAAGAAAACUUCACAGGGAACUUUUUGCUAGCACAAUGCCUGUCCUUUGAUUCAGCUGCUGUCUGACCAACAACAUCUCCCUUGUUUUCAUUGCUGUCAGACAAAAGAGCAGCAGCUCUGAAGAUUGUCAAGGCAUUUUUUGAGAAUAAGCCGGACACAGGACCCAAGUAGUCAUCCUUAGAGAUUUACGUCAUCCUUUGGUGCUUUGCCCGUCUAAAUAGAGGCUGCUUCAAAGAAAUGACAUAGCCCCCUUGAUGGCAAAGUGCAAGCACUGGGAGAAAGCUUUUGGAUUUCUGACUGCUUCACAGCACAAGUCCUUGCCUCAGAGAAAUUCAAGUUUACCAAAAGCCCUUCAGUCAUUUUUCUGUUUCGUUUCCCCAAUGCCCACCAGAUUAGAACACAGCUUGGCAAUGUCACUAGAAGAAAGAGAGAGAAAAGAAAACAACAAAGUACUUCAGACAGAAAUGUUCUUUCAUUUCUAUGACUUUUGGAAAGUUUCAAAUUUCAUCUGGUACUGUGUGCAAAAUCAACAGGUCUGUGCAAAUAUGUCGGCAUACGUAAGAUUGACAAGUGGUGAAAGUUGACAAACUCCCAUCAGAGCCAAAGCAAUCUCUGCAGUGUGUGCUGAUGGAAGAACUCCUGCUCUCCCUUGAUGAAGAUAAGGGUCUUUUAUAGUAAAAUGAAAACAAGGAAUCAAAGGAUGAGAAUCAGUCUUCCAGUAUCUCAUCUGAUGUGUGACUUGAUCAAGGGAUAUUCGUGAUUCCCAGCAUCACAGGCGAGACGGGAAAGGAACAUGGGUUGCUGAGACUGAAUACCAUGAUAUUCAUAACCUCAAACUGUGAUGUUCUCAAAGACCAAGAGAUGUUUAAUUAUUGUAAGAAUGGAUCUGUUCCUUUGCAUCCUGAUGUAGUAGCCCACAGGCACAUGUUUCCAAGAUUCCCACUGCAACUACUAAGAUAGAAAAGCAGAGCCUGUCAUGUAAACACAUGAUUCUGGAAGGCAGGGCUAUGUGAAGAAAAAGUAGAGUUUAAAUGGAGUUUUGAAGUAGCUGGAAGAAUAGACAAUGUUGACACUGCAUGUUUUCAGUAACAUUUAUACUCUAUCUUGGUCAUACAGAGGUCUAGAUACAUACACAUAUAUAUUAUAACUACUCUGUUGACCUUAGUUACUAGUUGUCUUCUAAACCUCAUGUAAAAUCUUCAGGUAUUAAAUACACAGAAACAGCUAUGUAAGCUAGGCGAAGUUGUUAAUUUUUUUCUGAUACUAUUUCUUAACAAUAAUUGUUUGUAUCGAGUGGUUGUAAAUCUAUGUCAUAUAUAACAUUCUGCUU